CAGUAAUGUUUUAAUGUUCUUAAACAUUCGCACAUAAAUAAGUGCGAAAGUUCACUCUUCGGCCGCUCCGCUUCAGCACUCUGCUGUAUUUUUCGGCAAAAUUAUCCACACCCAGCACUGCACUAUGAAUUGUGGGAUAUGUGGGACCACGAAGUGUACAGCGGACCACACUUCAAAUUUGGGGAAGUCGGAUUGGGACAGCCGUCGUCACGUCGCUGUGACGUAAUAGGUCUCAAAAUGCUUACUCAGGAGCGUGCGGUCGCUGGAUUGGAACACAGCCAAGGUCUGUAGCUGUGUCAGAGCAAGCUUGUGUGAGCCAGCGGUGAUAUGUGUACACGCUGUAGGCUUUUAAAAUACUCAUGUGUCAUUCUCCUGCCAGCAGUGGAGGAGACUUUUCUGCUGAGGAAGAGGCCGUGCUGUCCUGCCGUCCUACUGGUGCCAUUGAGGGAUCAGCGGCUGCUAUAUAUCCUUCUCGACCUCGAGUAUUUGGACUGAAGGACUCACAGACACGUUUCAUAUUUAGCUCUAUAAAAGAUUUUAAAAAGAUUUUUUUAAAAAUAUUUUCCUGGCCAGCCAUUUUCUUAUUCACACAGGCUGUAUGGAGACCUUUUGGUUAUUGCCACAGACGCUUUCUCUUACUAUGGAUGGAGGAUGUUGCGGUUUUACAACCCAUGGACUGAGAAAGGACUCAAUAAGUAACCUGUUCACAUAUUCCAGGGUUAAACACAAAACAGGAGGCGAGAGCAGAGAACAAGAGUGCAGCAGUUUGGUGAAAGGUGAAGAAGAGGUGAGCAUCCAAAAGACGAGCAAGAGGACAGUUUCAAAGGAGACAUCACGGCACAAUAAAAGCUAGAAACUCACCUGAUGUAGUGGUAAGGCGUUAUUCACCACUAGAUGGAGACAACCUGGCACAGUCUAUAGAUCCAGUCACACUUUCUACCUUCACCUGUGCAGUAAAGACUGAGAGCAGAGCUGAAACCAACCGUCCAAUCAGGGAGCAGCAUCAACACCUGAGCUUCAUUCAGACUCUGUUAUUGAAGAUGUUGUUGGUACAAAGUUCAUCUGCUGCUCACAUGAAUCCAUGAAAGAUUUAUUUCACUGAGUGUUUCUUCAAAGCUCAUUUCAACCUGUUGAAGUCAUGAAUGAAAGUGCAGACUGAGAGUGGAUCACAUGAUGUUUAAGGUGAGCAGAUCCAGUGUAUGUCAUCAGUGAGCUGGUGAAAAGAUGCCAGGACAAGAACAUCAGCCUGAACUUCAUAUACGACACUGUGUGUGCUGUCCUCACAUAUACAUAAGUGCAGCUCCUUCAGAGAUGGGACAAAGAGGAGGUCACCAGCCUGCUGAGGCCAAGUUCGAUUUGAUUUUCCAGUCAACGCUGAGAGACCUUGACCAGGAAGUCAGAGGUCAGCUCUGUGAGCAGGAAAUGAAUCAAGGAAGAAGGAUCGCUCUACUCAAUCUCAAAGAAAAUCUCCUGAGAGGGAAACGUUGUAUUUUUUGCGUCUCUUCCUCACAGUAAAGAUAUUUGUACUCCUGCAAAGAAGAUUCUGCAGGUAAACUGUUGAUGGGACAAUAAACAAAUUUCACUUUGCAAAAUGUUGUGCAGGGAGGUUGUGGUUGCUUCUUAGACUACCAUGACCUGGAUGACUGAGAACCUACGCAGACACAUUCUGAAGGAAGGGCUCCACACUUAUUGUACUGAUUUAACUGUGUUCAUUGUCAUCUAGCAAAUUUUGCUUUAAUGUGUCUCUAUCGACAACACAAAGCAUUUUUUUCACUAUUUAUAAAACGUAGAAGACUUAAAAUAUAUCUGCAGUGCUUGGUGUAAAUUCAGUGAUUCAAGCCGCAGUUGGUUGGAGUCCAACAGUCUGCAGAGGCCUCCACAGUCCACCGUCUUCACAUCACAAGGACAGUUUCCACAUGUCUGUGACGUCUCCUUGCACUUGUACUCAUGCCUUGAUGAACAAGUUUGUUUCAUGAAUAUUUCUCAGACAGAAGAAGGUGAUAUUCCAACAGAGCUGAAAAGGAGAGCCGUCGAUGCCUUACAUUUGAAGAGCAGAGCAGCUGAAGAAAAGCUGCGACUCCAACGUGAGAUGGACGCUGUGACUCAUCACCUCCACCAGCAACACACUGACCUGCAUUCAUCCAUAGAUGACACUCAGGACUCUGGUUCCACAGCUGUUCCUGUUCACAGCUGCAUCCAGUUAGAGAGGAAACUGUAUAAUGCAAUGAUGAUGUUCCAGUGUCCUGCAGAUGGCGUUCUUGCAACGCGUUCAAAGAGCCGACACUUUGAUGAUGCUGCUCUGCUCAACUUACUGUUAGCCUGGGUUGGACUCUAUAUGAGCAGCUUCUACUCUGGUUUCACUGUUAAAUACACUUGUUUGAUUUCACUUGGAAAAGCUGAAAAAUAAAUAUUUUAUUGCAAAAUUAUUUGUUGGUACAUUUCUUGAGGGUCAAAUAUCUUGUUUGAUUUGAGGAAUGAACUGUUAAGGUGUUAAAAAUGAAUCAGGUUAAAAUAUUUCAAUUUCAAUUUC